GGUGUCUAUGGGCCAUGGGCGGCGGUAAGACGUGGGUGGCAAAGUGUGGUGGGAAUUACUGGGUGUAAAGGGGGUGCAGGGGGCAGGGCAUGGCGGAUGUGAAAUCCCGUGGCUCAACCACGGAAGUGCACCCGAAACUGCCCAGCUUGAGUCUCGGAGAGGAAGGCGGAAUGCUUGGUGUAGAGGUGAAAUUCGUAGAUAUCAAGCGGAACACCGGUGGCGAAGGCGGCCUUCUGGACGAUGACUGACGCUGAGACGCGAAAGCGUGGGGAGCAAACAGGAUUAGAUACCCGAGUAGUC
rnacentral:rRNA from 1 species